rnacentral:tRNA from 1 species
UCCCUUGUGGCUCAGCUGGUAAAGAAUCCGCCUGCAAUGCGGGAGACCUGGGUUCAAUUCCUGGGUUGGGAU